AUUGAACGCUGGCGGCAGGCCUAACACAUGCAAGUCGAGCGGAUGACGGGAGCUUGCUCCUUGAUUCAGCGGCGGACGGGUGAGUAAUGCCUAGGAAUCUGCCUGGUAGUGGGGGACAACGUUUCGAAAGGAACGCUAAUACCGCAUACGUCCUACGGGAGAAAGCAGGGGACCUUCGGGCCUUGCGCUAUCAGAUGAGCCUAGGUCGGAUUAGCUUGUUGGUGAGGUAAUGGCUCACCAAGGCGACGAUCCGUAACUGGUCUGAGAGGAUGAUCAGGCACACUGGAACUGAGACACGGUCCAGACUCCUACGGGAGGCAGCAGUGGGGAAUAUUGGACAAUGGGCAAAAGCCUGAUCCAGCCAUGCCGCGUGUGUGAAGAAGGUCUUCGGAUUGUAAAGCACCUUAAGUUGGGAGGAAGGGUUGUAGAUUAAUACUCUGCAAUUUUGACGUUACCGACAGAAUAAGCACCGGCUAACUCUGUGCCAGCCGCCGCCGUAACAC
rnacentral:rRNA from 1 species